ensembl:piRNA 21ur-3249 ncRNA
UGUUCAUCUCGUAUUUAUUCA